GACGAACGCUGGCGGCGUGCUUAACACAUGCAAGUCGAACGGAAAGGCCUGCUUUCCCUUGUGGAUUGCGGGUACUCGAGUGGCGAACGGGUGAGUAACACGUGAGUGAUCUGCCCCCAACUUGGGUAUAAGCCUGGGAAACUGGGUCUAAUUCCCGAUAGGACUGCAGGGUGGUGCCUGUGGUGGAGAACGAUUUUCUAGUGGUUGGGGAUGAGCUCGCGGCCUAUCAGCUUGUUGGUGGGGUAAUGGCCUACCAAGGCGGCGACGGGUAGCCGGCCUGGGAGGGUGGACGGCGACAUUGGGACGGGGAUACGGCCCAGACGCCUACGGGAGGCAGCAGUGGGGAAUAUUGCACAAUGGGCGGAAGCCUGAUGCAGCGACGCCGCGUGGGGGAUGACGGGCUUCGGGUUGUAAACUCCUUUCGACCGCGAGGAAGCCACCUGGUUGGAAGGGUGGUGACGGUAGUGGUAGAAGAAGCACCGGCUAACUACGUG
rnacentral:rRNA from 1 species